CUGUUGCACAAUGGAUCAGACUAUGUACACUUCGUGUGAAAACUUUGUAAAUGCAUAAACACAGAGAUGUUUGAGGGAAAAAAUCGUCUUGUUUCGCUGAUGUGUUCAGUGUUUCCGUCUUGUUUCGCUGAUGUGUUUGGUGUAAUUUAGCGGCGUUGGACUUUACGUAAUUUCACAGGAAAUUUGGAAUACAAAAUAAGAAAUUAAACAGACACGGUUUGCUUGAUCGAUUGGAUCGAUUAGCGUCUAAAGCAAAUGUACUCAUUCUGCAACUUGUUUAUGUUAUAUUGUUCGGGGAUGUAGUAGCUUACCGGAAAGAGCAAAGGGCAGUGCUCGGCUGUGUUGGGGGAGCGCGGCCGUCAUGCGCGUGCGCGUUUAUUCUAAAUUUGCGCCUACCUUCGCCAGUACAGGUAGGUGGCGGUGUGCACCAUCAAGCUGGCGAAAAUCAACUAUAAAAUUGACCAAAGAAGAAGUCGAAGAAGCGCAGUAGGGACACCAGAAUCUGAGGGUGGGGGAGAGAGAGACCGUUCUGCCAACAGGUGCCUCCUGCUGUCAUCCAAAAUAAUUGCCAGGCGAGCAGAAUUAAUCACAUAGUCGAAGGGCCAUAGAGUUGACAUAUUACUUUGCUUUACUAGCAAAGAUUUUUCAUUAACACAUAGCCCCGAUGCUCAACCCAGAGUCUCUAAGUUAAUAAGUAAUCACAAAUCAAAAUUACCCAGAAUGCCUUGGUCAUAAAUUACCAUAUGACCAGCUGUCGUCAGGGUAGGCGCCCAAUAGAGACAUUGACAGAUCUGCCUGCUAACACAAGUGCCUUCACUACAGACAGCGAAGUAAAUUACAUGACUGCUUUCAUCAUUAUAAAGAAGCUACAGUAACAUUGUGCCGAACAGCAAAAAAGAAAAAAAAAUAUUUGUGAGAUUAAAUACUGGUGAGAAAUUAGAAAUAGGAUGAAUGCAUUUGUAUUCAGUUUUAAUUAUUUAAACUGCCGAAAGAGGACAAGGCAGCUGACCAAUCAAAGCGGAUGCUGUGCAGUCCAUUGUUAUGUCACAGUUCCCACUGUGACAUCACAGUUAAUCAGAUCACAGUUGCCCCUGUACCAUAGAUAAUAUGGAUAAUAUGCUACCUGUUAGCUUCUAAGACCCCACUGUGGGAAAUGCAUCCUAAGUGGCAUUAAUUAGGUGCAUGUAUUUGGUUUUUGGAUUAUUCACUUUCUCAACAAAAACACAGAAUGUAGCUCUGUAGCACAGACAGAAAUUGCAUUUGGCUUCCCCCCCCAGAACACAGAGGCUAACUGACCUGUGGCCCCAUGCUCAAGUACAAAAAAAUAUAUGCUUCUAAAGAGCAUGCAUUUGGUAAUAAUUGGUGAGUCAACCCCAGUGAAAAUGGAAAAGAAAUAUAAAUAAAUACAAGAGUUUAAAAACUAAAUACAAAAGUGUACUCUACUGGAAGAGAAAAUAAAGCAAUGUUUAAAAUAAUAAUAAUAACCCUACUAAAAAUAAAUGUGAAUCCCCUAAUUUUGGCAAGACUUUAAAUAAACCAUUCUUUAACUCCCACAGCAACUCAGUGGGCCAAAAUCAGAGCCUUUCUACAAAAUAUCAGAUUUGACUAAUUAUCUUAGUCCUAACAAUAUCUUUUCGCUCUUUUGCCACUUUUCGCUAUUUACCCACUUGUAUUUUCCCGAUUGACUGCACUUACUCUGGUUUGGUU